rnacentral:snRNA from 1 species
UAUAAACAUAUUUAAUAAUAAAAGUAUAAAAUUGGAACGAUACAGAGAAUAUUAGCAUGGCACCAGCGGAAGGAUGACACCCAUUAAUCGAGAUAUGGUCCAAAUUUUA